rnacentral:rRNA from 1 species
GACGAACGCUGGCGGCGUGCUUAACACAUGCAAGUCGAACGGAAAGGCCCUGCUUUUGUGGGGUGCUCGAGUGGCGAACGGGUGAGUAACACGUGAGUAACCUGCCCUUGACUUUGGGAUAACUUCAGGAAACUGGGGCUAAUACCGGAUAGGAGCUCCUGCUGCAUGGUGGGGGUUGGAAAGUUUCGGCGGUUGGGGAUGGACUCGCGGCUUAUCAGCUUGUUGGUGGGGUAGUGGCUUACCAAGGCUUUGACGAGUAGCCGGCCGGAGAGGGUGACCGGACACAUUGGGAAUGAGAUACGGCCCAGUCUCCUACGGGAGGCAGCAGUGGGGAAUAUUGCACAAUGGGAGGAAGCCUGAUGCAGCAACGCCGCGUGGGGGAUGACGGCCUUCGGGGUGUAAACCGCUUUCGCCUGUGACGAAGCGUGAGUGACGGUAAUGGGUAAAGAAGCACCGGCUAACUACGUG